rnacentral:tRNA from 1 species
GGGCACUUGGCACAGUUGGUAGCGCGCACGCUUCGCAUUUAAGUUUGCGUGAGGUCGUGGGUUCAACUCCCACAGUGUCCA